CGGCCCUAGAGCGCGGGACGCGGCAAAGUCAUGGACCGCAACCCUUCGCCGCCGCUGACGGGUCGCGACAAGGAGGAGAAGGAGGAGGUGGCCGGUGGAGACUGCAUAGGGAGCACGGUCUACAGCAAACACUGGCUCUUCGGCGUCCUCAGCGGACUCAUCCAGAUUGUUAGCCCUGAAAACACCAAAUCUAACUCAGAUGAUGAGGAGCAGCAGACGGAGCUUGAUGAAGAAAUGGAGAAUGAAAUUUGCAGAGUAUGGGAUAUGUCAAUGGAUGAGGAUGUGGCUUUAUUUCUCCAAGAAUUUAAUGCUCCUGAUAUAUUCAUGGGAGUACUGGCCAAGUCCAAGUGUCCUCGAUUAAGAGAAAUCUGUGUGGGAAUUUUAGGUAAUAUGGCCUGUUUCCAGGAGAUAUGUGUGUCCAUCAGCAGUGAUAAAAGUCUUGGGCAGGUGUUAUUGCACUGUUUGUAUGAUUCAGACCCACCUACUCUGCUGGAAACAAGCAGAAAUUCAACCCACGUUUACCAUGUAGGUUGUUGCUUACUUGCCUUUCCCAGGCAGAAGUGGCCAGUGUUUGGGUUGAAAGGAUCCGGGAACAUCCAGCUAUUUAUGAUAGCAUUUGCUUCAUUAUGUCAAGUUCAACAAAUGUUGACUUGCUGGUGAAGGUGGGGGAGGUUGUGGACAAGCUCUUUGAUUUGGAUGAGAAACUAAUGUUAGAAUGGGUCAGAAAUGGGGGAACUCAGCCUCUGGACCAACCCCAGGAAGAGUCUGAAGAGCAGCCAGUGUUUCGGCUUGUGCCCUGUGUAC
rnacentral:sRNA from 1 species